GACGGAGGAUGCAAGCGUUAUCCGGAAUUAUUGGGCGUAAAGCGUCCGCAGGUGGCCAGUCAAGUCUGCUGUCAAAGCGCGGAGCUUAACUUCGUAAAGGCAGUGGAAACUGAUUAGCUAGAGCAUGGUAGGGGUAGAGGGAAUUCCCGGUGUAGCGGUGAAAUGCGUAGAGAUCGGGAAGAACACCAGUGGCGAAAGCGCUCUACUGGGCCAUGACUGACACUGAGGGACGAAAGCUAGGGGAGCGAAAGGG
rnacentral:rRNA from 1 species